AGAUGGCGUUUUAUGACCCCUUGACAGAUGGCGUUUUAUGACCCCAUGACAGAUGGUGUUUUGACAGAUCGUGUUUGGCAGGGGGCGGGACCAUCAAUCAAAAUAUGUACAAGUUGUCAACUUUAGACAGAAAGUAUUUAAUGGUUUUAUGGCCGGUCAUUUAGAGUGAUUGUUUUUCCUGAGUGUAUUUUAUGUCAAGCCUAUGCUGAUAUGUUUAAUGACGGCUCGUGUGUGACAGCUCGUGUUUCGACAUUUGAUGUCAGCUCUCACCCUUCCUCCCUCCUUUCUCACAAGACCUGCAUUCUUUCACAGGGGUGCGUGUUGUAAAGCGAUUAAAGAUUUCAAAAACUCAAUGUUGGUAAAACAAUCCCCCAUUACGGUGUCAAAAAGUAAAUGUUUAUUUUAGAUUUAGACAAAUCAUGAACAAUGCUACGAUUAAAACUUUUGAUUGUAACAUCACAAGUUAUUUAAUUAAAUAUUCCGUAUAUGGGUAUAGUUUAAGCAAUGAUCUGAGCCAAUACUACAAUCUUUAGACGAUAGUCUAAACUAAAUAAAUUUUUAAACGGUUCAGGAAUUCCGUGAAUCUUUUCAUAACCUGCACUAUAGUUUCACGCGUAUUAAAGAUCCGGCGGUGCCUGACAAAGCGCCGGGUGAGUGUUCAUAUCUGCCAUUUUAAAAUAAUGUUAAUAAAUGUAAUUCUGUCCACUAUGGCAAAAUAGGAUUUUAUUUUAGAUUUAGUGGAAUCUUUAACCAAGUCUCUGAUUAAGACAUGUGUAUACGUGCACAGAUGGUGACAGAGAAACUUAUAUAUGACGUUAAUAAUCUUUUAAAUGUUUUUAAGACGUAUUCACCCCAUUUUGGUGUUUUAUUUUUAAUUAAAGGCUUCUUAAAACAUGUGUGAAUAUGUAUAUAUUAUACAAAGAGUCUUAUAUUGUCUGCUCUGACAAAAAUAAAGUAUUUUUUUAGGUUUAGGGGAAUUGACUGCGUGUAUCUUAUAAAUACAACUUGAUAAUACGUUUGUUUUGUAAAGAGACUUCUUUAAAGUCACGCAAGAAUAAAAUAUUUUAGUUGUAACUGGUUAAACUUAAAGCCGAUAUUUUCUAUCGAACUAGUCUAUUUUCUGUUCAGACACAAAGUUUUCUGAUGCUGAUAUUAUGUCAGUGUGUGUUUGUGUGGGGGUCGUGUGAUGUAAUCUUUGAAAGUUUAUGACCGAACCUUUAUUGGGGAGCGACAAGAGAUCUCCCGGAAUCAGUUUGGAUGGAGCAGAGCUGUUAUACUCAAGUCUAUUGGUAUGUAUGUGUUUCGCUGUGUUCGUUCCAGUAUUUUGUAUGAUUUAUUUAAAAACUAAAAAUUCGAUCUCUGGUAUUGCAGCGAAAUUGUCUAAACUGGUAUUAACUAUUCCUGGUAAAUCGCGGAGAAGAGUGGCCUGAACAAAAAAGUCAGACCGAGACUAGAACCUCCCGCAGCGUAACACGGAAAUCUUGGAACAAAAGAGACGCCGACUGGCUCGUGUUGUCCGGUUUGGAUAUCAGAGGCAAAGCGAACGUUGUGUGUACUAUUGCAAAAUAUAUAGCGGAUCUCCACGGUUAGGAUACAGACCACAACGCUUUGGACGUAUCUUUAAAAAAGAUUAAAAUCAGAGACUUUUUGGAUUUGUCUGGGGACAUUUUAAACAUUUGUGGCAAAUUGGAUUUAAAACAUUUCGGAUACUGGAUAUCUAGUUUGAUUUGUCCACAGAGCUUGUUUAAGACGUUUUCACCGCAUUUUAGGGUUUAUUUUUAAUUAAAGGCUUCUUAAAACAUGUGUGAAAAUGUGUAUAUUAUACAAUGAGUCUUAUAUUGUCUGCUCUGACAUAAAUAAAUUUUUAUAUUAGAUUUUA